GAUGAACGCUAGCUACAGGCUUAACACAUGCAAGUCGAGGGGAAACGACAUCGAAAGCUUGCUUUUGAUGGGCGUCGACCGGCGCACGGGUGAGUAACGCGUAUCCAACCUGCCCACCACUUGGGGAUAACCUUGCGAAAGUAAGACUAAUACCCAAUGAUAUCUCUAGAAGACAUCUGAAAGAGAUUAAAGAUUUAUCGGUGAUGGAUGGGGAUGCGUCUGAUUAGCUUGUUGGCGGGGUAACGGCCCACCAAGGCAACGAUCAGUAGGGGUUCUGAGAGGAAGGUCCCCCACAGUGGAACUGAGACACGGUCCAAACUCCUACGGGAGGCAGCAGUGAGGAAGAUUGAGCAAUGGACGAGAGUCUGAACCAGCCAAGUAGCGUGCAGGAAGACGGCCCUAUGGGUUGUAAACUGCUUUUAUAAGGGAAGAAAGUGAGUCUCGUGAGACUUUUUGCAUGUACCUUAUGAAUAAGGACCGGCUAAUUCCGUG
rnacentral:rRNA from 1 species